UAAGUUGUAGCUAAGUUAAGCACUUCACUUACGUUGGAGAGAUCACCGAAUUGGGUGCUACUUAA
rnacentral:tRNA from 1 species